rnacentral:lncRNA from 1 species
AUCCUCAUUUUUUUUGGACAUUUACUUCAGUACAAAAGUGCUGAGCAGCGUUUAAAGUUUACUGUUAUUUUCCAGCAGAAUCAGACGCCUACAGUGAUGGUCAGACUCAGAGAGGAAUGGACCGCUACCUCGAUAGUCUCUUUGACCCCGUCCUCUCAGAUGGUGCAGACAUGGAAAGGCCUGGAGGCUUAUCGGCGAGGAUGAAAGGAAGAGGAGGUGUUGGGAUCCCAGGAAAAGGAGGAGACGGGGAGAUCUCUGCACCUUCUGGACGGCCUUAUCCACCGGGAAUACGUCCUGGAGGAUUGGAGCAUACGAUACUGACGGAGCAGCAACAGGCCAUCAUCAACCAGCAAGCAAUCAUUCUGGCACAGCAGAUGACCAUGCAGGCCAUUGCAAUCCAGCAACAGAUGCUCUCCUCUUUCCCCCCUGUUGCUCCAGCUCCCCAGACACCUCCCUCUCACCAUCCCACCCAACC